UCGUACGUGAUCGUCCUCGUUCAGAAGAUACGCUUCGUCUUUUACCGUUCAAGGUCAGCGAAUUGACGGAAACCAAGCGAAAAAAAGAAGGAAAAGAAGGAAGUAAUGGAAAGAAAAAGGACGUAGAUGUAGGGGAACGAACGAACGAACGAACGAACGAACGAGAUCCGAACACUUUGGACGUCGUCGCGCGACUGAACAACCAUUCGCGACUUUCACUUGAAGAUCGAGGAGAAGUGAAACAAAGAAGAAAGAGAAGCCUCUCUCCUUCGUGUUCAUCGUGAUAGUCCAGUAAUCGACGCGUAAUCGAAGCAGGUUUUAACCAGGCGUCUACCUCUCCUGGCAUAAUCUGACUUUCCAUCGUUAUACAGUUACUCGAGGGUGAAAGGUGAACCCUCGACUCCCUUCUAUCUUGUCGAAAGUAGUCGUGAAUUCAUGAAGUGAACCGAUGAAGAAAAGAUCGUCUCUUUUUCCUUCCUGUUUCGUGUAUCAAGCAGGAGUCAAUUUUUUUUUUGUUUUCCUUUCUUCUUCUUCUUUUUUAUUUUCCUUUUCUUUUUUUUUUUUCUUUUUUUUUUUUUUUUUGAAAGAACAAUCAAAAUGUAUUAAAUACUAUUGAACAGUCAUGAACCUUUUUGAAGAAUCUUGACCAAUAAAUUUAUUCUUGCGCCUUAAUAAAUGAUACUCUUUCGUGUAAGCUCAUAGAAUAAUAAAGGACUUCACAAUGUGUCCCUGAGACGUAGAAAACCAAAAUCUAACUCUUCUCUUAAUCUAUCUCUUACUAUUCGAUCAACGUAUAACACUCAUUUACCUUACCUUUUCUCUUUUUUUUUUGUUUUCAGGUAUAUGUGUAUAUACGUGAUGAAAGUGACAUCAUAUUCUCUUCACGAACCAGUUCUCAUUGACUCUUAAUACCGGUUUUCUUCGAUGAAACCUUCACAGCAUUCUACACUCCUGAUGGCGUUGUUCAUCGGGUAAGGUCGUAACCUUAAGAGCUCGUACAUUUUACGUGCGAAUAAUUGCGAGAAGUACACGAAGAUAUCCGAUGAUCUUAGGAGCGAGUACUUUCACAUGAAAUGGAGUGAGUCGUUUGUGGUCGAGAGACUUGAAUCUUAAAGCAAAAGGUAUAACCUUAGGAAAACGAAGAUGCGGUUGUACCAAAGAAGAAGAAGAAGAAGAAGAAGAAAAAGAAGAAGAAGAAGUAGAAGUUGUCUUUGUGAUAUAUAAUUUAAUGCUCGACAACCGAACGGUAAUAUUCCUGACUACAGACGAAAACACCUAUACACAUACAACAUUUAUUUAUUUUUUAAAUUUGCAUACUUUCCUCAUUAAUUAUUCUGGACGUUCGAAGGAACAAGAUAGGUGACUAAUUCCAAUUCGUUUUAUGACGAGAUACAACGUAGAAGACUACUUCGAGGAUUCAUUUCGUAUCUCACGAUUUAUUUUUUCUUCUUCUUUUUCUUAUUUUGAUCAUAAGCGUUAAAAUAAAUAUAUUAAAUUUAAUAUAACAAUACUCUAUUUGGUUUAUUAAUAGAUCUAGGAAGAAAUAUUUUUCUGCUUGAACGCACUUGAGAGUCUAUGAUUUUCUCGUUAACCGACUGUCACAGUUGUUCCAGUUGAACGAUUUGACGUUCCCAGUGUGAUUUAUUAUUUGAAACUCGUCGAUAUUAAAUUCACUGUUUGCCGCGUACCUUGUUCUAGAAUAUUUCAAUGUAGAUAAUGUUUGAAAAACACAUAUAACAUGACACUUUUAUAAUAACGAAAUAGAAUUUAACAACGAUUAAACAUUAUCUAUGAACUCGUUGGAAAGAAAAUAA